AGAGUUUGAUCCUGGCUCAGGAUGAACGCUAGCGAUAGGCUUAACACAUGCAAGUCGAGGGGCAGCACGAGGUAGCUUGCUAUCUGGGUGGCGACCGGCGCACGGGUGCGUAACGCGUAUGCAACUUGCCCUAUACAGGAGGAUAACCCGUCGAAAGACGGACUAAUACUGCGUAUGCUCACAACUUGGCAUCAAGUAGUGAGGAAAGAAAUUCGGUAUAGGAUAGGCAUGCGUCCCAUUAGCUUGUUGGUGAGGUAACGGCUCACCAAGGCAACGAUGGGUAGGGGAACUGAGAGGUUUAUCCCCCACACUGGUACUGAGACACGGACCAGACUCCUACGGGAGGCAGCAGUGAGGAAUAUUGGUCAAUGGGCGAGAGCCUGAACCAGCCAAGUCGCGUGAAGGAUGACUGUCUUAUGGAUUGUAAACUUCUUUUAUACGGGAAUAACAAGGGUCACGUGUGACUCCCUGCAUGUACCGUAUGAAUAAGCAUCGGCUAACUCCGUGCCAGCAGCCGCGGUAAUACGGAGGAUGCGAGCGUUAUCCGGAUUUAUUGGGUUUAAAGGGUGCGUAGGCGGUUUGUUAAGUCAGCGGUGAAAUCUAGAGGCUCAACCUCGAAACUGCCGUUGAAACUGGCGAACUUGAGUGUAGAUGAGGUAGGCGGAAUUCGUGGUGUAGCGGUGAAAUGCAUAGAUAUCACGAGGAACUCCGAUUGCGAAGGCAGCUUACUAAGGUACAACUGACGCUGAAGCACGAAAGCGUGGGUAUCAAACAGGAUUAGAUACCCUGGUAGUCCACGCAGUAAACGAUGAUAACUGGGCGUAUGCGAUAUACAGUAUGCUCCUAAGCGAAAGCGUUAAGUUAUCCACCUGGGGAGUACGCCGGCAACGGUGAAACUCAAAGGAAUUGACGGGGGCCC
rnacentral:rRNA from 1 species